ensembl:lncRNA
AGAUGAUUUAUUCAUGACAUAUUUUUACUCGGCAAGGAAUGAGUCAAUAAAGAUGUAGCUACUCAAACUGAAGAGCCCUCUCUUAAACGCUGGGAUUUAUAAACCAUUAAUCUACAAAUAUCUUCACUAUAAUUCAGUUAAAAUAAGAGCCUUGAAAUGACAAAAUACUUUGGCUUUGAGUAAUUCAGUGGUGCAAUUUAAGAAGGUCUUGUGGCCACAAUGAAUGCUCAAUAAUCAGAAUAUAAUUAAUAUCAAAUGAAAAAUGAGAAACAGCAAUGUACCAGUCUAGGUCUAGUGAUGAAUGAGAGAUUAAGAGACCAGACAUCAUGGCCACUGUCCAGAGAGAGACCAGAGACCACCGCCACUGUUAAGAGAGACCAGAGACACCAUCCUGAGAGAGACCAGAGACACCACCGUCCAGAGAGACCAGAGACACCACCACCACCGUCCAGAGAGACCAGAGACACCACAGCCACCGUCCAGAGAGACCAGAGACACCACCGCCACCGUCCAGAGAGACCAGAGACACCACCGCCACCGUCCAGAGAGACCAGAGACACCACCGCACCGUCCAGAGAGACCAGAGACACCACCGCGACCGUCCAGAGACCAGAGACACCACCGCGACCGUCCAGUGAGACACCAGUAACACCACCGCCACCGUCCAGAGAGAGACCAGAGACUCCACCGCCACCGUCCAGAGAGACCAGUAACACCACCGCCACCAUCCAGUGAGAGACCAGUAACACCACCGCCACCGUCCAGAGAGAGACCAGAGACUCCACCGCCACCGUCCAGAGAGACCAGAGACACCACCGCCACCGUCCAGAGAGACCAGAGACACCAACGCGACAUUCUAUUUAAAAAUAUUUGCAAAUAUGUGCAGGGGGUAGUUCAGGUUUGGGAGAGAGGAGGAGGAAGGAAAGGUGCAGGAAGCAGCCAGACAUCUUCUGGGACGGAGCCCCGCUCCUCCUGUCAGACGCCCAGAUGAUGCAGCCCGGUCCUGCUUCCAGGAGGUUUCUGGCCGCCGGUGGGAAGAUUAAAGAGUUGGGUCGAUCUCACCGAGCGACACAAGCACAAAACGGGAGCCGGCCAGACUUUAGGUUAUCAAAGGUUUCUGUUGCAGACACACGCACAGAGAAC